rnacentral:rRNA from 1 species
AUGGGAGCAGGGCUAUAUGGGUACAUCGAUCAAUCAGUUCCUGAACCACCCAAAACCAUCGUGACCAAAAACUCUGAAGGGAAAGACCAGAUCGUUCCCAACCCCGACUACAACCCCUGGCUUGUCCAGGAUCAGCAGAUCGUGGCCUAUCUUCUGCGGAACCUCUCCAAGGAAGUUAUCAUCCAAGUAGCAUCCUUAGAGCAAUCUCAUGCCAUCUAGUGUGCCCUAGCGAAGAUGUUCACAGCUCAAUCCCGCUCCCGUAAGAACAAUUGUCGCAUAGCUCUCUCCAAUGCCCGGAAAGGCACCUAGAAUGCCUCCACCUACUUCGGUCACAUGAGAGCCCUCUCCGAUGAGUUAGCUGCCGCUUGAAAGCCCAUCACCGACCAAGAACUUCUCUCCUUCAUCAUUGGGGGGCUGGAUAUGGACUAUCAGCCUCUCAUAUCUGCGCUGGAUGUGCGCGUGGAACCCCUGUCCGUGGACGAUCUCUUUGGCAUGGUCGCUAACUUCGACCAACGCGUCGAGAUGUUCCAAGGGACGGGGGCAGGAGCCUUGAAGUCGUCUUCCAAUCUUGCUGCCCAAGGCCGCGGCGGGUCUCCCCAAGGCUACCGCAAGGGUGGUGGUGGCGGGGGCUCUCGCGGCAGCAGCAGCUAUGGUGGUGGCAGCAGCAGCGGCGGGGGGAACAACUACAACACCGGCAACAACCACUACAGCAACAAUGGCAACACCUGCGGCGGCGGUGGUAGCGGCCACUACCAACGCAACAGCAACAACUACAACACCUCAUCAUCAUCAUCAACAACAACAACAGGGGACGCCCGUUCCAAGGUUACGAUGAGUAUGAAAAUAAACGUCAAAUUUGUAAAAAGAAUAAUCACAUUGCCAAGGAUUGUGACUAGCGCUAUGCCGAGAACAAUUCCCAACGCAAGAAAGUUGCAGCAGCUGCAGACACCUCAUACGGAGUGGACACAAAUUGGUACAUCGACUCCGGUGCCACGAAUCAUAUCACCAAUGAGCUAG